AUCUAGCUGGCGAGUCCCAAAUGGAACGAAACAUGCAUCCUGGAU
rnacentral:hammerhead_ribozyme from 1 species